CCUACGGGAGGCAGCAGUAGGGAAUAGUGCUCAAUGGGGGAAACCCUGAAGCAGCAACGCCGCGUGGAGGAUGAAGGUUUUCGGAUUGUAAACUCCUUUUGUUAGAGAAGAGAAUGACGGUAUCUAACGAAUAAUCACCGGCUAACUCCGUGCCAGCAGCCGCGGUAAUACGGAGGGGGCAAGCGUUAUUCGGAAUCACGGGGCGUAAAGAGCGCGUAGGCGGGAUAGCAAGUCAGAUGUGAAAUCCUUUGGCUUAACCGUAGAACUGCAUUUGAAACUGUUAUUCUAGAGUAUGGGAGAGGUAGGUGGAAUUCUUGGUGUAGAGGUGAAAUCCGUAGAGAUCACGAGGAAUACUCAUUGCGAAGGCGACCUGCUAGAACAUAACUGACGCUGAUGCGCGAAAGCGUGGGGAGCAAACAGGAUUAGAUACCCGAGUAGUC
rnacentral:rRNA from 1 species